GGAGAAAUGGCUCAGUGGUUAAGAGUACUGGCUGUUCUUCCAGAGGACCUGGGUUCAAUUCCCAGCACCC
rnacentral:tRNA from 1 species